rnacentral:rRNA from 1 species
AUUGAACGCUGGCGGCAGGCCUAACACAUGCCAGUCGAACGGUAACAGGAAGAAGCUUGCUUCUUUGCUGACGAGUGGCGGACGGGUGAGUGAUGUCUGGGAAACUGCCUGAUGGAGGGGGAUAACUACUGGAAACGGUAGCUAAUACCGCAUAACGUCGCAAGACCAAAGAGGGGGACCUUCGGGCCUCUUGCCAUCGGAUGUGCCCAGAUGGGAUUAGCUAGUAGGUGGGGUAACGGCUCGCCUAGGCGACGAUCCCUAGCUGGUCUGAGAGGAUGACCAGCCACACUGGAACUGAGACACGGUCCAGACUCCUACGGGAGGCAGCAGUGGGGAAUAUUGCACAAUGGGCGCAAGCCUGAUGCAGCCAUGCCGCGUGUAUGAAGAAGGCCUUCGGGUUGUAAAGUACUUUCAGCGGGGAGGAAGGGAGUAAAGUUAAUACCUUGGCUCAUUGACGUUACCCGCAGAAGAAGCACCGGCUAACUCCGUG